UACGUAGGGGGCGAGCGUUGUCCGGAUUCAUUGGGCGUAAAGAGCGUGUAGGCGGCCAGGUAGGUCGGUUGUGAAAACUGGAGGCUCAACCUUCAGAGGUCGACCGAAACCAUCUGGCUAGAGUCCGGGAGAGGAGAGUGGAAUUCCUGGUGUAGCGGUGAAAUGCGUAGAGACCAGGAGGAACACCCAUGGCGAAGGCAGCCGACUGGCUCAUCCCUGACGCUGAGGUGCGAAAGCGUGGGGAGCGAACGGG
rnacentral:rRNA from 1 species